rnacentral:tRNA from 1 species
UGCUGGUUAGCUCAGUUGGUUAGAGCAUGGUGCUAAUCAUGCCAAGAUUGUGGGUUUGAUCCCCAUAUGGGCUG